rnacentral:rRNA from 1 species
AUUGAACGCUGGCGGCAGGCCUAACACAUGCAAGUCGAGCGAGCGGCGGACGGGUGAGUAAUGUCUGGGAAACUGCCUGAUGGAGGGGGAUAACUACUGGAAACGGUAGCUAAUACCGCGUACCAUAGGAUGAGCCCAAGUGGGAUUAGGUAGUUGGUGGGGUAAUGGCCUACCAAGCCGACGAUCUCUAGCUGGUCUGAGAGGAUGACCAGCCACACCGGGACUGAGACACGGCCCGGACUCCUACGGGAGGCAGCAGUGGGGAAUAUUGCGCAAUGGGGGCAACCCUGACGCAGCCAUGCCGCGUGAAUGAAGAAGGCCUUCGGGUUGUAAAGUUCUUUCGGUGACGAGGCGUUAAUCACAGAAGAAGCACCGGCUAACUCCGUGCCAGCAGCCGCGGUAAUUC